GUCUUGGAUGUUGUUUUAAUGGUCAAUAUUCUUGUAGGUGGUCUACCUCAAUCUAACUAACAUCAUCCUGCUUUGGGAGCAGGGGGUCGCAGGUUCGAAUCCUGCACCUCGACA
rnacentral:tRNA from 1 species